UACGAAGGGGGCUAGCGUUGCUCGGAAUCACUGGGCGUAAAGCGCACGUAGGCAGAUUGCUAAGUCAGGGGUGAAAUCCUGGAGCUCAACUCCAGAACUGCCUUUGAUACUGGCGAUCUCGAGUCCGGGAGAGGUGAGUGGAACUGCGAGUGUAGAGGUGAAAUUCGUAGAUAUUCGCAAGAACACCAGUGGCGAAGGCGGCUCACUGGCCCGGUACUGACGCUGAGGUGCGAAAGCGUGGGGAGCAAACAGG
rnacentral:rRNA from 1 species